rnacentral:ncRNA from 2 species
UGCGCUACAGGCGAUGGGGUUCGCCUCUACCUGACAAGGUCGCAACCGUGGACACUGUCCACUGAUAACUCCUACCCAUCA